rnacentral:lncRNA from 1 species
CCUGAGCUAUCAGACCAACACCUGUAGUACCAGCAUACCACAGGCCACAUAAGGUAGUAACCAUGUGAAUGUGAACCUGUAGUACCAGCAUACCGAGGAUAGUAAAAUCGCAGUGUACUCUUUGUCCCGGCCCAUCUGAACCUGUAAUAUGGCACACUGCCUACAGUGUGCCCUCGAGGUAGGUACUAGGCUACUAGCAGCGCGUAUCGUCUUAGUAGACGUAGUUCUUGACGAACAUUCCCUCCUUGGCCUCGGCGGCCUCGCCGUCGGAGGUGUACUUGCCGAGCUGCGCCAGGGAGUUGGCCUUGGCGCGGAGCAGCAGAGCAUCCUGAGCCGCCUUCACGUUCUCUGGCCGGCCGCCCCAUGUCUUGAGGCAGGUGUUCUGAAGAGCCCUGGCGUAGGAGAAGGACACAUGCCACGGGUUGGGGCUCUGGUUCAUGGCGUUCAGGUUCUGGGUCGCCUCAACCUCAGACUGCCCACCAGACAGGAACUGCAUUUUUGUUUGGGUGCAACAGCAAAACAAUUUCAGUCGUCAGAACACCAUAUGAAUUUCUUGGCAAGUAUAUGCAUAUGCAGCAAGAGGAAAAAAUGUUACAGACCAUGAUGCCGGGGACGGCAGGAGGGAU